UACGGGGGGGGCAAGCGUUGUUCGGAAUUACUGGGCGUAAAGGGCUCGUAGGCGGCUCGCUAAGUCAGACGUGAAAGCCCUCGGCUUAACCGGGGAACGGCGUCUGAGACUGGCAAGCUUGAAUCCGGGAGAGGGAUGCGGAAUUCCAGGUGUAGCGGUGAAAUGCGUAGAUAUCUGGAGGAACACCGGUGGCGAAGGCGGCAUCCUGGACCGGUAUUGACGCUGAGGCGCGAAAGCCAGGGGAGCAAACGGG
rnacentral:rRNA from 1 species